GGGCCCAUGCUAGUGUUGUAUGUAUGCCUUCUGCCAUAAAGCUAGCAGAUGGUAAGGGGAGUACUUGGAAAACCUGACUUGGUUUGGCCUGGUUAUUAGAAACUUUUGUGAGAGCUGAGCUAGUGAUGAUUAUAAAGUUAUCCCUGUCUGAACAGCAGUUUUUGUGUGGAUUCUGUCUUGCUGAGGCCCAGCUCUGCAAACUUAAUUCAAGAGUAAACAUGACGUGAAUAUUUGUUUGAAAAUUCUUAUGUAUAUGUCUUUUGGGAUGCCAGAUGCUGUCUGCUUUUAGACCGUGAAAGAAAGCAGAUGAAAAGGUCUUCUUGGAAAUGUUAAGAUUGUUGGAUCUUCUAACUUGCACCUUCAAAGAGGUACAGUCUCUGCCUCAGCUAGUGGGAAAAGAAGCUUAUGAUUUGAGGAUCCUUUUUACUCCUAUAGCUGGAAGACUUUAG
rnacentral:lncRNA from 1 species